GUAACGCGUGGGUAACCUGCCUCAUACAGGGGGAUAACAGUUAGAAAUGACUGCUAAUACCGCAUAAGCGCACAGUGCUGCAUGGCACAGUGUGAAGAACUCCGGUGGUAUGAGAUGGACCCGCGUCUGAUUAGCUAGUUGGUGGGGUAACGGCCUACCAAGGCGACGAUCAGUAGCCGGCCUGAGAGGGUGAACGGCCACAUUGGGACUGAGACACGGCCCAAACUCCUACGGGAGGCAGGCAUG
rnacentral:rRNA from 1 species